rnacentral:miRNA from 1 species
GUUUUGUUUGGGUUUUGUUU